rfam:Kutzneria albida DSM 43870, complete genome.
GGGGGUGAACGGUUUCGACUCUGGACGUUGAGUCAGGGGAAGCGUGUAGGUGCAGGCGAGAGACCACCUUCAAGCGUCAUCGCAAACCAAUAAGCGCCAAGACGAACAGUCAGCGCGACUUCGCCCUCGCUGCCUAAGCAGCCAGUGCGAGUCUGUCGGCCUGGGACCGCCUCCGACCCAGUGUCCGGCAUCAGCUAGGAGGCUAAACCGCUAGUCCCGGUCGCGGGGGCUGGCGGGACAUCCACAGCGACUGGGCCCGUCACACCGUCUCGUCCGCGUGAACGGUGGGGCCGAGCAGAGGCACAGCGGACUGCACACGGAGAAGCCCUGGUGAGGCGACAGAGGACCCGGGUUCGAUUCCCGGCACCUCCACUC